GCCCCUCGGUACUAGAAGAUCUGGCUGUGGUCUUCACUUUGUGCAGCAGAAGAGGGCAAACCUGCCUGCAAGUUGAAGCUCCCACGGGCAAGAGCAAGUGUCUUCACCGUCUUUGAAUGCACUCUGGCAUCUCUGUGACCACAGGACCUGAUACCCAGGAGAGCCUGAUGCUUGUUGCAGGGCACAAAUUUCCUCCAAGACGAUGGGAUGGCUUGAUAUACUUCUGUCAGGAGUACCCACAAACCUUUACUGUAUAAAAAAAUAGUCUCAGGAUACCUCCUGCCUAAUGUGAGGAUGCCUCAAAUGCGGCCACUGAUGGGCAUUCCUCAAACAUAAAAAGACGAGCUGGCAGGUGCCUCCAGAGUCCCUGCCUCUGAGUCAUCCCCCCCCCCCUUCUCUUAGGAUCACACUCCCUUCAUGGCAAAGACUGAGAACACUUAAAUAUGUUGGCGUUGUUUAUAAAAUUGUCACUCAGUUGGCCAAUAACAUAGGAGAGGCUGGUGAAGGUCGAAGUUCCUUGAAAAGCUUUGAGAAUGUUCAGCACUAGACUCGGUAUGAGUGAUGAUUAUGCAGGAAGACUCAAGAAAUGCUUUGCAUUGCCCUGUUACACAGGCCCCACCCUCCUCUGCACCUGGCCACGGGGCUUCCUGAUCCAGAGCGUGGAGCGCGCUCCCCUUCUCGCCCUUCUGGUGAAAUCCCAUAGAGUUCUCAAGCUCCAGAUCAGACUUCUGCACCCCUGGGGUGGCUUCUUCCUCUGCACCCCAAAGCAAGUUACACCAGGGGCUCCCCCUGAGCACAAGCAAACAUCAGCUAGGUAUCAUCUAGGAGGCUGAUGUGUGUCCCUCCGUCUCAUGAAUGAGAUGGCUGUGUUUUGUGGAGAUGAGGAAAUACAUCUGUUACGGUGGCCUCCCCGGCACCUGCCAACAUCAUACACAGGCAGUCCCCAAAUUUGCUGGAUGGGAAAAUACAGAGCGUAAGUGGGGAGAGGAAAGGAGAGAAGAAGGGAAUUUGUUUCUGUCUGCCCAUCCAUCUGUCCGUCUGUCUCUGUACGAGUAUGCACAUGUACAUGCUGGUGUGCACAGAGGCCAGAAGAAGACAUUAGAUUCCCUGGAGCUGGAGUUCUAGGAAGUUGUGAGCUACCCCAUGUGAGUGCAGAAAACUAAACGCUGGUCUUCUACAAGACCGAUAAGAGAGCCCUUAACCACUGAGCCCUCUCUCUAGCCCUGGUUCUGUUUGGGUUUUUCAAGACAGGGUUUCUCUGUGUAGCCCUGGCUAUCCUGGAAUUCACUCUGUAGACCAUGCUGGCCUUGAACUCAGAAAUCUGCCUGCCUCUGCCUCCCAAGUGCUGGGAUUAAAGGCAUAUACCACCACUGCUCCGCCCUGGUUCUAUUUAAUUUUUGCAAGUUCAUGACUGUGAAGGGCUUUAUAUUAAUUUUUAAGUCUUUAAUCUUAUUAGAGGCAAUUUUUCAUAAAAUUUAUUUAUUUAUUUAUUUGAGUGUGUGGGUGUUUUGCUUACUUGUAUGUCUGAGCACCACAUGUAUGCAGCACCCAUGGGUGCCAGAAGAGGAUGUCAGAGCCUUUGGGACUGUAGUUACAGGUGGCUAUAUACUGUCAUGAGGGUGCUGGGCAGGGACAAGUAUCAUUGACCACUGAGCCAUCUUCUCUAGUCCCCAAAAUUUACUUAUAAGAUGAAGACAUUUUAGAUUUCUCUAUCCCUUAUCCCCAAUUACCCAACAUUUAAAGCCUAAAUCCAAAUGUCUAAGCUUGAAACUCUAAGAAUGCAGGCCAAUAACCCUUCUAGGGACAAGGUAGGAGCUUGGGCAAUCUGGGCAUAGAUAGAACAGUGGGUGUUGUAGGUCGUCUCCAAGUUCAGAAAGGGAGGAGAAGAGGAGAGAGGACAGCAUCUCAGUAGGAAGGUUCCUGGGAGAAGGACUAGAUCAAUAUGAGCACUGACACCCCAGGCAGGGACCAGUUACAGGGGCAGAGACAAGCAAGGACUAGCUGGCCAGUACUGACCAUGGACAUCUGACAAACACACACACACACACACACACACACACACACACACACAGAGAGAGAGAGGCUUCAGGGCUGGCUGCACCCACUAAGCUUCAUACUCUGACAACUCUAGGGCUCAUCUCCUCCCCCUAGGCUCUCUUCAGCCCCAGUGGAGCUGAGAUGCCCUGAAUACUUAGCAGAGACACUGUAGACCUAACGGCUUCCAUUUCCCAUGGCCCUCCAAGGACCUCUGCAGUGAGGGCUUUCUCUCCUCCACACUCCCGUGGUUUUCCUUUCACUGUGCAAACCACAACUGGUGGUUUUCUGUGCCACCCUUCCUUAUUUCACUUCCCAGCUCUCCCAAUCAACUGUGAAUUCAAAAUGGGCAGAGCCCAUGUGUCUCUUCCCCACCGUUAGCGCACAGUAGGUGGUUAGGAACUGCUAUCGGAAGGUACACAUGUCUGCUUUACUGGCAUCUGGCUCAGCUCACUGGGCUGAGAUGGAUGGGAAAGCCCCAGGGAAGCGAAGACAGUAUUGGGGUUGCUGGUAACCUCCAUUCUAGGAAUGAGAUUCCAAGUCAGCAAGCUCAUUUUUUCUCACAAGCAAAUGAUUCCAACAAAUCCUCAAAAUAGACUUUUCCAAACAUCGCUCGGCAUGACCGUGCAUAGGACUCCAUCAUUUCCCACACAGCUCACUUGGCUCUGAAGAAUUCUGAAGACUUCUAAAAAGGAGUUCAGAGGUGAGGUGGCCCCAACCCCAUGGCAUGCAAAGCAUUAUGGGCAAUGCAGAUUCUCUAUCAAAGUACAGCUUUGAGAAUGGCCUUGGCUGCUGAGGACAGUUAAACCCCAGCAAAUUCUCCUCACCCAAGCAGCAGGAGAGACACAGACAGGACACAAACAGCUGCAAAUACUGAAAAGAAAGGGCUCUCCUCCCCACAGUUCAGUCUGCAGUCUGCCUAUCAUCUGGGGAUAAAUCAAUUUGCAGCAGCUGUAGACAGCCAUUUCCGCGUGAGUCCUACUCUGCUUAACUGGAGAAGCGUGUUAAAAGUUAAAGGGCCUUCAUCACAUUAAAAACCCCAAGUUUUUCUAACCAUAAAUUUAUUUCACUGGAUUCCUGAGCUGUAAAGUCACCCUCCACUCUUUCUUGUAAAUCGGGGGCCAGGGAGUGCCCAUUUCCUGGUGUGUGCCAAUUUGCUGUUUUCCCUGUAAUUAGGAAAAAAUGCAAGUCACUAGGGUUACAAGCCCCAAAGAAGGCAUGGAAUGGGGUCGGUAUUUAAUAUCUGCUUGGAUCUAUGCUUUUAAAGAAAUUCUGUACUAUAUUUGUUAAUUUAUCUUCGAAGGGUGAGGGCGCACAGGUGGAGGUCAGAGAGUAACUUGUGGAAGUCAGAUCUCUCUUUCCACCAUACAGAUCCUAGGAAUCAGACCCACAUCAUCAGAUCUGGGGGUGACUGCUUGAAUCUGCUAAGCCAUCUCAAAAGCCCUCACUCUCUGCUUUUUAAAGAAUGAUUCUGUAGGGUGAUACAAGAGCAGAAAUGAAUCAAUAUGUAAAUACAAGACUACGACACCCAAUGCCAGGCACAGAGGGUUGUUUCCUCCACUCCCUGCCCCAGGUCUGGCUUUUCCCCCCAGGUAUGGCUCUGAUCACCCAGCCACUGAGCAGCAGCGACCAACAUGUGGAGCUGGAAACAAGGCUUUCAAGUAUGUGUGAAGAACCCAGACUAGGACCUAAGGUAUUGGCACUAGAGCAGCAGACCAGGUCCUCUAUAGCCAGUGGCACUUUGCUGAGCCCUGUACCCUUUCUGGGUGGGAACUGCGACACAAACAGCCCAGAGAGUAGCCAUUUCCUGAAUCUUUACUGCUAAAGACAAAGAUCUCUUCCGGUUCCCGUAUUUCUUUCUUGUGAGAGGGAUGCACGUUGCAGAUACUGCUUUCUUUUCCUUGUCCACCCUAAGUUCGGUUUUGUGCCGCCUCAUGGCUUCAUCUGUGGGAAAUGCGUCGCUACAGUCAGCUUGUCCAUGGCAUGAUUACAUCUUACAAAACAGCCUUGCUAACUCACCUUGGUUUUUAGUACAAACGCAGCAGCGCUCACAGGAGCCGCUCCUAUUGUUGAAAAGCCCUCAGAUAAUCCAGAAUUAAAGCUAACACUAAAGGAAAAAGAAAGGAAAGAGCAGUUAGUGCUCGUGUGACCGAAACAUCCCUUUAGCAAGAUUGGAGACACAGGGCUGAGCAAACGCUUUAAGAAUCGGCCUUUUAAAAAGUGGUGUGAUUUUGCCCCUACAAACAAAAACAUGUCUAUUUCCAUUCAUUCUUAAAAUACAAAAGCCAGAACAACAAUAGCCCAGAAUAUCUUCCUUAAUCAGAAAAAGAAAAAAAACAACAACAUUUUUUUAAAGUGCUGUUUUUUGGAAGCUAAACCAUGGGCAGGGGGGACAUUCCCUGUUAGAGGUCUUUCAGUGGCACCUCCCACUCCGAUUUCAGUUACCCAAUAACUCUAAAGGUGAGCCUCAUGGACCCUCCUCGCUCCUGAUCAUCCCCAAGACCCUGGACUUCAUAUUUAAAAUGUCAUUCAGGCUGGCAGCUGCUGAUGGGAGGAGCGAUAAAUAACACUACCUCCAUUUGCACACAAGCCCUGCAGACGCCGCUCCAACUGCUUCUCCGCAGAACACCUUGGGACCCACUAUUGGAAUGCCACCCCAUUUGAUGCCAGGCACCCCACACAUCAGCUUUUAGGAGGGACGUGAGGAGCAGCCUGCCCAAUUGGAGUUGCAAGGGGAUUUAGGAAGACAGAAUGUAAUUACCUGAACUGGAGCUGGGCCAAGACACUAGGGCUGUUAAAAAGAGAAAGAGAGAAAGAGAAGAAAAAAAAAAAAAAGUCAAGAAAAAAAAUAACCUUAAUUCUCCCAGCUGAUAGCAAAAGCCAAGCUUGGGCUUCUUUCUACUUGUGAUUUGGCAGCAUGGGGUGUUUAAAUCAUUACCAAAUAAUAAAUACAGAUAAAACUUCCAAAUGCCAGGGACUUCCUUUCAUACCACUACAGCUCACUGCAGGCGCCUUUGUCUCUGAGUGGGUGGGAGCCUCCUGUGGUGCAUGGCACGGCCUGCUUCCUUCAGUGCCCACUCUGCACAGGCAGCGGGGUCUGUCCACCAGCUGACCAUGCCAUGUCACCGACACAUUUUCCAAAAAGCAGACACUGUAUGCAAGGCCGCUGGGAGCAAGGCACAUAGUGCUUGGUCUGUUUUCAGAGAAGAUUCUUUUCCAACUCUAACCUUAAUGCCAAUGAAACAACUUAGAUACUAAAAUAAUAAUAUCACCCCCAAGAUGUUGAAAUUUUAUGGAGCCGUUUAGCCAGGAAUCUUUUCUUUCUUUUUGGCUAUCUACCCUCCCCCCCCCCAAAAAAAAAAUGGAAAAGAAAGAAAUUUGCCUCCAGGGAUUGUCUAAAUCAACAGUUCUUAACUUGUGAAUCUUGACCCCUUUGGGGUCGGAACCAUCCUUUCACAGGGGUCAACC